AUGGAUGGAGUAGCCAAUGAGAAAGACUUCGACAAGUACGGCGACCCGAAGAUCGAACAUGACGACGACGAUGAAGUAGCAGCACACACCACAAGAAGAAGCAGGACUACCCUACCUAAAGGACGUCCGUUCAGCGUGCCGGAGGCGGCACCCUUCACCGCGGUGCUCAAGUUCGCCACCGAAGAGUUCAAGGUCCCGCCCCAGACCAGCGCCAUCAUCACCAACGGUGUAAUGCUUCCACCAGAGAUUAGCUACACUACCUUGUUGUGUUCUCAUGGCAUGCAGCUACAUUACAGAAAUAAUAAUAAGGUUGAGCUUACAUAA
rnacentral:rRNA from 1 species